rnacentral:lncRNA from 1 species
UGUAAAAUGAUGUUUGAAAAGCAAAGAUCAGUGAUCAGUUUCAGAACUACAGUACUUAAGAUUUAUGAAGAGCCCUGCCUUACUUGAGAUAAGGCUCUGUCCCAUCUCACUACAUUUGAAAGUGACUAUGGAAGAAGUAGGCCAGAUUUCAGUACAUUUAAAGUUGUGUCCAAGAGUUGGUUUUUGUCACGAUUACCAGGAUCUCAAACAGGGAAUUAUGAUGUAUAACCCUGCCAGAAUUCAAGGUAGCUAUUAUAUAAGCUAAAUGUUUUUACUCUUGAUAAUUUUAUUUUGUAGUUUUCUUAUAAAUGAUUUAGGAUUGCCUGUUAAUGUUUUAAAGAGGUACUGCUUUAAGAACACAACCUGGGUCAACAUAAGAUAAGGAGUUAUCACCUACAGGAUAGAGAGAUAGACAUUAAAGCCCAGUGCUCUUAAUAUAAGGCUGUUAACUUAUUUGCUGGAUGUUUAAGAUUAAGUUUUAAAAUUAAAGUUAAAUUUAAAGGGCCAAGAAAACCAAUAUUUGGCUCUUGCCCUCUAAGUCAGUCUGAAUCAGGGAAUAGGGGACUUCUCCGAAGAGCUUUGCAACUCUAGGCCACAUAACCUCCCGAUCAGGGAGAUUAAUGAGACCAGUGGAGGACAGAAAGCCAAUCAGUGCAUUUGCUGUGAAGAGGAGGGUCAUCACAAAAGGGAGACAUCCCUGAUGCUUCCAAGGGAAGCCACAUGGUCAAGCAAGGCCUGGACCCAUCCUAGCGCAAUGGCACUAGCAGAACUGAGAAGAUGCUGUGAAGUUCCCCGAGGACUCCCAGGGAAGCUCAGCUGACUGUUAACAAUAGAUAAAAACAAAAGUCAGUUUGACUUGCUUCAUCUUAAACACUUAGGAAAGACAGUCAAAGCCAAAACACAGCUAUCCCUGGGCAUUUUAAAUAAUAAUAAUAGUUAAAUGUAACUUCCAAAAAUAAGUAAACUGGAGGCUACAAAAGAGAUUCUCAGACAGGAAUGCCUGAUAACUAUCAAAAGGAACUGCCAGAGUAGUUUUUAGUUUAAGGCCUUUAUUU